rnacentral:rRNA from 1 species
CAGCCGCCGCGGGAAAACGGAGGGUGCAAGCGUUAAUCGGAAUUACUGGGCGUAAAGCGUGCGUAGGCGGUUCGUUAAGUCUGUUGUGAAAGCCCCGGGCUCAACCUGGGAAUGGCAAUGGAUACUGGCGAGCUAGAGUGUGUCAGAGGAUGGUGGAAUUCCCGGUGUAGCGGUGAAAUGCGUAGAGAUCGGGAGGAACAUCAGUGGCGAAGGCGGCCAUCUGGGACAACACUGACGCUGAGGCACGAAAGCGUGGGGAGCAAACAGGAUUAGAUACCCGCGUAGUCCCUGUCUCUUAUAC